CGGUUUUUAAGUUGCAAGCGUGUCAAAGUGCUUUGAAAAUAGCUUUCACUAUAAGCAACUUUAAUAUUUGUUCAACCUUCUGUUUUCUAAUAACAAAAGCAAAAGCAGAAGUCUAGUCAAACAGACAUUUAUUUGUUUGGUCCAACUGGUGCUUGUGCUAUAAGCAAGUAAAAGUGUUUUGAAAAUAAUUUUCAGUAAAAGUAGCUUUAAGGUG
rnacentral:lncRNA from 1 species